rnacentral:rRNA from 1 species
GUGUCAGCAGCCGCGGUAAUACAGAGGAGCCAAGCGUUGUCCGGAUUGACUGGGCGUAAAGCGCACGCAGGCGGAUGCGCGCGUGGGGUGUGAAAUCUGGCCGCUUAACGGCCAGGCGCCAUCCCAUACGGCGCGUCUGGAGCCUUGCAGAGGUCGGUGGAAUUGCCGGUGUAGUGGUGAAAUGCGUAGAGAUCGGCAGGAACACCCAGGGGGAAACCAGCCGACUGGGCAAGUGCUGACGCUGAGGUGCGAGAGCGUGGGGAGCGAACCGGAUUAGAUACCCGAGUAGUCC